GGGGCAGCGGGGUAGUGCUUGCACUACUGCCGGCGACCGGCGCACGGGUGAGUAACACGUAUGGAACCUGCCCGCAGCAGGGGGAUAAGCGGAAGAAAUUCCGUCUAAUACCGCGUAACAACGUUGGGAGGCAUCUCCCGAUGUUUAAAGAUUUAUCGGCUGCGGAUGGCCAUGCGGCGCAUUAGCUAGUCGGCGGGGUAACGGCCCACCGAGGCGACGAUGCGUAGGGGUUCUGAGAGGAAGGUCCCCCACACUGGUACUGAGACACGGACCAGACUCCUACGGGAGGCAGCAGUGAGGAAUAUUGGUCAAUGGCCGAGAGGCUGAACCAGCCAAGUCGCGUGAGGGAAGACGGCCCUACGGGUUGUAAACCUCUUUUGUCGGGGAGCAAAGCGAACCACGUGUGGUUCAUUGAGAGUACCCGAGGAAAAAGCAUCGGCUAACUCCGUGCCAGCAGCCGCGGUAAUACGGAGGAUGCGAGCGUUAUCCGGAUUUAUUGGGUUUAAAGGGUGCGCAGGCGGAGGUGCAAGUCAGCGGUCAAAUUGCGGGGCUCAACCCCGUACUGCCGUUGAAACUGCAUCCCUUGAGUGCGCGAGAAGUAUGCGGAAUGCGUGGUGUAGCGGUGAAAUGCAUAGAUAUCACGCAGAACUCCGAUUGCGAAGGCAGCAUACCGGCGCGCAACUGACGCUCAUGCACGAAAGCGUGGGUAUCGAACAGGAUUAGAUACCCUGGUAGUCCACGCAGUAAACGAUGAACACUAACUGUUCGGCCAGAAUGAUGGCUGAGUGGUACAGCGAAAGCGUUAAGUGUUCCACCUGGGGAGUACGCCGGCAACGGUGAAACUCAAAGGAAUUGACGGGGGCCCGCACAAGCGGAGGAACAUGUGGUUUAAUUCGAUGAUACGCGAGGAACCUUACCCGGGCUCAAACGACACAGGAAUACUUUUGAAAGGAGGUAGCCCUACGGGGUCUGUGUCGAGGUGCUGCAUGGUUGUCGUCAGCUCGUGCCGUGAGGUGUCGGCUUAAGUGCCAUAACGAGCGCAACCCCUAUCGCCAGUUACCAUCAAGUAAAGUUGGGGACUCUGGCGAGACUGCCGGCGCAAGCUGAGAGGAAGGCGGGGAUGACGUCAAAUCAGCACGGCCCUUACGUCCGGGGCGACACACGUGUUACAAUGGCAGGUACAGAGAGAAGCCAGGUGGCGACACCGCGCGGAACUCGAAAGCCUGUCUCAGUUCGGAUCGGAGUCUGCAACCCGACUCUGUGAAGCUGGAUUCGCUAGUAAUCGC
rnacentral:rRNA from 1 species